ensembl:lncRNA
AUGAGCACUAAACGGAUUAAAGCAAUAAAUCACCCAAAAAUCAGGACUGAGUCAUUAUUUAUUCCCCCUCAUGUGGAUCCAGACCAUGCUGUUCGUUUCUGUGGGGAACUCGAGGGUUUUAGGCUGAGGUCACUGGGAGGGAGAUUUUUAGCAAAUGAAGACCGAAUGAAGACAGACACAGAUCUUUGUGUGAAACCGGAUCCGAGAGACAGAUGGAGAAAACGUGCGGCCGCGGGAUUUUCCGCAUGGAUCCAUUGGCACCUGGAUUUGGGAAACAGGAUUAGCGGAGUUUUUGGCUGUGCUGAGAUAUGAAGGAGGAUCUUCUGCUGGAGAACCUGUGAUCCUUUCAUCGUAGUCAGGUGUUUUAACAAAAAUACAGCUACUAACACUGGAUUCUUAAUACUGUAGGGUUAGGUUUAGUGUUGGGGUAAGUGUACACAGAUAUAAAGCCUCACACUACAUUAAUAUCACGCUGGAAGCAAAACCAGACAGGGAUGCACCAAAGACUAGAUAAAUACAAAGACGCUUCACUCCAGUACGUAUGAAUGGGAGAAACGGCAAUGCACAAUCUGGGGGAAUAGUCCCGCCUUCUAAAUGAAAGAGCCAAUCACUGAUCAGGAAAGCCAUUGCAUCACUGCAGCAGCCGUUAGAAGCUAUGACCGAUGUGCAUGUGCAGUCAUAACUGGCUGGUCAAUACACUUUUAAUAAGAAAACAUCACCUAACAAGUCAGUUAUUUUAUAUCUGAAGUAGCCAUGUCUUAAGCAUUCAAAUCUGCUUAUUAAAAAGUUACAUUCAUAUUUACAUUACAGUAGCGAACAUCAGAUGAACUUGAAAAAACAUCGGACGGAUGAAAUCCUCAGCAUAUGUAUUACAACGGACAAAGUGUGCAUUCUGAAAUCUAAAUAAAAACUGAAGCUUUGUACACAUAUAGCUCUACCUUCAUUUGUUAUUCACUGUUUGUGUCAUUUUGUAAAAGUGUUUUAACUGGUCCAGUAUUCACUGGUUUGGUCCUGAGACAGAUUCGAGCGUGGACUUAUUAAACCUGCAGGAUGUUUUAAUGGUGCAAAGACCUCUUAGAUGCUAAAAGAUCAAUGCAAAUUAGAUUUCUCAUGUCAUGACCCUUUAAUGCAUUGAUGAUGCCCGCUCAGUGCUGACGGAUCAGGGCUGUGGAGAUCUUCAUCUCAGUCUGUUAUCUGAUGCUACAAUCCCAUCUGCAAGCACUCUGAGGUCAUAAACUUGCUAAAACAAUAGCGGGCGAGCACACGCCGGGUUCAUGUGAAUGCGCCUCUUGAUGCUCUCUGCAGAUGCGACUCGAGGGCAAGAGCAGCGUAAACCAAAAGAGAAAAGAGAAAGAACCGAGUGGAGAGCCAAACAGAAAGAGCCAGUGUUUGUGAAGAACGGAGGACGAGCUGUUUGCUCCAAGACACUGGAGACGUCUUCAUCUGAACACUGAGAUCACUGAGGAGCUUCACAAUGACCCUUCAGCUCUCUCUCUCUCUCUCUCUCACACACACACACACACACACACACACACACACACACACACACACACACACACACACACUCACACACACACACACACACACACACACACACACACACAAACACACACACACACACACACACACACACCCCAUCUGAACACACUCAUGAUUGUUAUUCACUGACACUGCCUUAACUGGAUGAUGAUCUUCUCAAGGUGAGGGAACAUCUGUGUGUGUGUGUGUGUGUGUGUGUACCUCCCUGCAUUGUCAGCAUGAUCAUGAAAGUGGGUGGGACUGUAUGCAAAUCAUGUCACAGCUGUGGGACACCUGGGAUGGAGGGGGAGGAGCUCUCUCAUUAUAGAUGAAGCUGCUGCUGCUCUUUUUUUAGCUUCACUAACCUACAUACAUCAGAACACACACACACACACACACACACACACACACACCAGCUGUGACAUCACUUCCUCCAACUAACCUCUCCAGGGAUCCUCAGACAAUCACGUAUGAGUGUCUGACCUCUGACCUUUGUGUCAGGUGAGACUUUCACUGAAAUCAAAUGCUAAGCACUAUAUGAACAUUUAUAUACAUGUGUCCUGCAGCACAGAAGCAGUCAUCAGUGUCACAGACGUAUAUUUGUAGAAAUACACAACAAUAUACUGUACGAGUCACAAUUAUACAUUAGGAUAUUAAGUAAAGAUCAUGUUCAUGAAGAUAUUUUAUAAGUUUCCUACUGUAAAUAUAUAAAAACUACAUUUUUGAUUAGUAAUAUGCAUUGCUAAGAACUUCAUCUGAACAACUUUAAACAUGAUUUUCUCAAUAUUUAGAUUUUUUUGCUCCCUCAGAUUUUCAAAUAGUUGUAUCUCAGACAAAUAUUGUCCUCCGAACAAACCACACAUCACUGAAAGAUUAUUAAUUCAGCUUUCAGAAGAUGUAUAAAUCUCAAUUCCACGUAAUGGACCCUUCUGACUGGUUUUGUGCUCCUGGGUCUCAUACGUACACGUCUAUACGACGACAGCAUUAAUGCUUUUGAACGGGAACAGUAAUGUAAGUGAUCUUGUAAAUGUGUUAAUUAAGCUCAGUAAUCAAGUAUGCAGUCAUUAGGCCGCGUCCUCUCAUGUUCACUGAGGAAUCACUCAAUCUGAAGUGCUGCUGUUAACAGGAUUCAUCAGGAAAUCAUUUCCUCGGAGACAGAAAAUCCAUCUGACCUUCAGCUCGGGCUGAAAUGAGCUCUUAAGAGGAGCGAGGCCUUCCUCAGAGCACCUGAUCCCUGCGGAUCUGAGACACACACAGCAUCUGAUCAAUCUGAGCCUCACACACCAGACAGAUCUCAGCCUUGGUUUGAUCAGAUAAUAAUAAUGCACAUUUAAAUAGUAGAUUAAAAAGUAUUUAUAUGUUUAUCUGCAUGUCAUGUGAUCAUUAACUGAAAUAAGAGUCACAUGAACGUGAACUUGUUGAUAAAUUAUCAAAAUAUUAGCUUGAAAUCUCAGGGCAACUUAAAAAAAAAAUAUAUAUAUUUAUAUAAAAUAUAUAUAUAUAAAAAUAAAGGGUUUAACAAACCUAGGCUAUAAUAACAUUGUAAGA